rnacentral:piRNA from 1 species
UAAACUGAGGUCACACCAAUUCCCAAAAU